UUUGCUGAGAUGAGGAACUUGACAAAUCAGUUUUAUGCUCUCAGUCACAGUGAUAUCGUUUGUAUCUUUUCCAAAAACUUUGAAAGCGAUGGUGACUAGGUACUUUAUUGUAUCAAUACAUUAGGCCUACAUGUAAAUGGGUCUGAUAGUACUGUAUUAUUUAUGGAUUUAUCGACACUUUCCACGGGAAAUCCCGGCCCCGAAAGUAAUACGAUGGAGAGGCUUAUGAUCACUGUUGAUAUCAACUCAAAAGUAGCUCUUGCCAUCAAGAUGGUACUUUCUGGUAUAGGACCACCAACCCAUAGCAGACCAGGGGAUCUUGAUGUCAGCAUAAUAGUGAUUAUGGUUAAAUUCAUCAGUACAGAGUACAAGGUAUAUGAAUAUGAAGUUUAGACCAUUCAUGCUGAUGAUGAUUCAACUACUGCAGCUCGACGGAAGAAUGAUUUUCCACCCCUUCCAACAAAGAGCAGGACAAGAAUCGCUUGUUGAAAAUAAACUAACAUAGUCAAUAGACUACUUUUCUUUGUCAGCUUUAUAUUACCGGGUACAUGUAUCUCUUGAUUGAGUGUUACGUUUAAAGUGGAAACUAAUCACUCCACAUAUAGAUUUUUUUCCAUUUUUCAUAUUUAAUCUACCCUGUUUUAUGUCUGGUGUGGUAAUAGAUCACUCCACAUGCAGCCUUUCAUGUUUAAUGUACUAUGUUAUGUUUUGUAUAUGUCAGUUGCAGUAUUACACUGCUGUAGAGUGUAGAUUAUUCUUUUUAAAAAAAAUGUAUGCAUAAUUUAAUGUCGACUUGUGAUGUCGGGUUCAGUAAUAGGCCAAUCAACAGAUAUUCUCUAUUAUGCAUAAUCUACACUGUGAGUGUUUUUCAGGCUUUUUAAUAAGCUGCUCCAAAUAUUCAUGUAGAAUCUUUUUUUUUUUAACUUUUUAUAUGAAAUGUCCUGCAUCAAGUGUUUUGUCCCAGUGCAGCAUUGUCAUUUUGUUUUUAAUUUUUAGGUAUACGUAGUUUAUGUAAUUUUAUGUCUCAGGUCAAGGACGGUUUUAGACUAAGUCCAUUUCAUGUUUUUUUUUCUCUGUUUAGCGUCCAACCUUCAAUCAAAAACCUACCUACAUGUACCUAUUUGUAAAUAAAAAUAUAGCCUAAAAAAUAAAACACAGAAUGUACGUGUAUCAUGUCGAUAGUUAUAAUAAUAGUGUAAAUCUGAGGAUUUUAUUUCAUCAAUCUGCUUUUCUGGCAGAAAUAUCUAUUCUUCAGCAAAAUCAAAAUAAUAGAUUUAAAUGCCUAAAGUACACUACCUAUGACAUAUUUAUUGUACAUAUUUGAGAAAUUGACAGAACUCAAAGAUGUCAACAAAAAUAAUCAAGUGUAUGGGUUCUGAUUUUGUUUGAUUGUCUGAUACAUGUAGGUGUCAAAAACCAAGGUGCGAUUGAAUGCCAAACAGAAAAAGACUUGGAAUGGCCUAUUAAAUGUUAUUAUCCUACCUGCUCAUGGAAUAAAAUGACUUUUGAUCAAUUUGAAAGAGUACUGAUCAUAUUUUUUCAAUGAUAUUCUUAUUAUUCUAUGAAAUAGAAAUUUGUGAAUUUUGCAGUGCUAUGUCAGAUGGAUUUCUUUAUUCUGUAUGACCAAAAUGUAUUUUUUGACAAAUUAAGUAGAAUACAUUUGACAUGUUAAUAAUUAGGGGGAUUUUUGACAUUGCAAUGAAAAAAUAUCAGAUGCAUAAAAGGAGGGGGUGUAUUAGACCAUUCUGUAACUUAAUACAUGUAGUUAAUUGCCUCUUAAUGCAACCGAGAUUUCUGAGUGAGAAAUAGUAUUGGACAUUUUUGUCAUACAAUAUAUUUUUUAGAAAUCUAUAAGAAAACAUAGAAUUUGUUUGCAUGAAAGUAAUCAAAAGGGAUCACGUUGAAGAAUAUUUAAAUGUUUUUUUUUUAAUUACAUUUUUGUUCAAGUAUCUAUUGUUGAAAUAUAAAUUCAUAUUUUAAUUUUGUUGAGGAACUUUUUAUGGAUAAUUUCAAUAUUGGUUUAAUUACAUGUUUUAUU